GCUAACGCGUGGGAAUCUGCCCUUGGGUUCGGAAUAACAUCGGGAAACUGACGCUAAUACCGGAUGAUGACGAAAGUCCAAAGAUUUAUCGCCCAAGGAUGAGCCCGCGUAGGAUUAGCUAGUUGGUGGGGUAAAGGCCUACCAAGGCGACGAUCCUUAGCUGGUCUGAGAGGAUGAUCAGCCACACUGGGACUGAGACACGGCCCAGACUCCUACGGGAGGCAGCAGUAGGGAAUAUUGGACAAUGGGCGAAAGCUUGAUCCAGCAAUGCCGCGUGAGUGAUGAAGGCCUUAGGGUUGUAA
rnacentral:rRNA from 1 species